GGGCGUAUAGCUCCAACGGUAGAGCGGCUGAUUCCAAAUCAGUAGGUUACAGGUUCGAAUCCUGUUGCGCCUGCCA
rnacentral:tRNA from 1 species